rnacentral:other from 1 species
AGGGUCCUGUAGUGUACGAUGUUCAUCCAACGUUUUGAGCCAACACUUUUACAUUGGGAGCACAGCGUUCCGGCAGGGAGAGCAGGCCUUUCAUUAACAUAGUGUGAGGAAGCUUGAAUCGGCGGGCAUGGCACCCACGUACUCAGGUCCAGGUUCAAAGCCAGGAAACCUGAAACGGCACAUAUGGGAUCCUU